GAGAAACUGUUCAUGCUGACUCUCCUUUGUCUGCUUCAGAGGUUCUGCUCCAUCAGCCCUGCAAGAAGCCCCACAGAGAAAAUAUUCACAUAACUUGAGAGCUGCAUGCCCUGUUAUCUUGCCAUGCUACCUGAUAACUGGUUUACAAGACAUCACAGGAUAUGGACUGUAGAAGGCUCUUACCUUGUAUUCAAAGCUAUGGCCAUGAAAGUGAACUGUGUGCAGGUCAGCUUCAUUCCCUAUGCCAAUCAGAUACCAAUUCACUACAUCCCCAACAUGGAAUGUUAUACCUUGGUUAUUUCCAAACAGUCUUCCGUUAAUUGCUGUGGGAGUCAGGGAAAGGCACAGUUUAUUAUAUUCAACAAGGAUUUAAAAUAAUGUGGGCUUUUAAAAAAUCACCACUUUAAAAAAGUAUUAUCAUCCCUAUAGAAAAUAUCAUGGAUGUUUUCAGAAGCAGUGGGGAUUUUAAAGCCAGACUAAGGAAGUUGUUAAAUGUGACCAAGCCAUCCAUUCAUGGAUGUGUCUAAUUCUAAGGAGUUUUUCUUGCCCAAGGAAAUGAGGCACUGACUUUGUGUUAACACAAUCAGGUUGGAUUUGACUAUUUCACAACUAAGCAUACUUAUAUUGGUGAAUUGUGUAUUUAAAAUUAUCACAAGAGACUUAGAAUAUUAGGAAUGGCCAGGCAUGGUGGUUCAUGAUUGUAAUCUUAGCACAUUGGGAGGCUGAGGCGGGAGGAUCACUUGAGUUCAGGAGUUCGAGAACAGCCUGGGCAACAUAGUGAGACCCUGUCUCCAUAAAAGACAAAGAAGAAUAUUAGGAAUGUGCAUUCUUAUUUAACUGCCCUAAGUCAAACCUUUGUGAUCUGCCACUUGUAUGUCUGGAAUGGCCAUUUGUGAGGUCCAG
rnacentral:lncRNA from 1 species